rnacentral:rRNA from 1 species
UACGGAGGGAGCUAGCGUUAUUCGGAAUUACUGGGCGUAAAGCGCACGUAGGCGGCUUGAUAAGUAAGAGGUGAAAGCCUGGAGCUCAACUCCAGAACUGCCUUUUAGACUGUCUCGCUUGAAUCCAGGAGAGGUGAGUGGAAUUCCGAGUGUAGAGGUGAAAUUCGUAGAUAUUGGGAAGAACACCGGUGGCGAAGGCGGCUCACUGGCUCGUUUCUGACGCUCAGGCGCGAUAGCGUGGGGAUCAAACAGG